UGGGGAAUAUUGGACAAUGGGCGAAAGCCUGAUCCAGCCAUGCCGCGUGUGUGAAGAAGGCCUUUUGGUUGUAAAGCACUUUAAGCGAGGAGGAGGCUACCGAGAUUAAUACUCUUGGAUAGUGGACGUUACUCGCAGAAUAAGCACCGGCUAACUCUGUGCCAGCAGCCGCGGUAAUACAGAGGGUGCGAGCGUUAAUCGGAUUUACUGGGCGUAAAGCGUGCGUAGGCGGCUUUUUAAGUCGGAUGUGAAAUCCCUGAGCUUAACUUAGGAAGUGCAUUCGAUACUGGGAAGCUAGAGUAUGGGAGAGGAUGGUAGAAUUCCAGGUGUAGCGGUGAAAUGCGUAGAGAUCUGGAGGAAUACCGAUGGCGAAGGCAGCCAUCUGGCCUAAUACUGACGCUGAGGUACGAAAGCAUGGGGAGCAAACAGG
rnacentral:rRNA from 2 species